CUUUUGAGCGGGUGGAGAAGUUCGUGUCUCCGAUCUACUUCACCGACUGUAACCUCCGCGGCAGGCUCUUCGGGGACAGCUGCCCGGUGACACUGUCCAGCUUCCUAACGCGGGAGAGGCUUCCCUAUGAGGAGGCGGUGCAGAAGAACUUCUGCCCUGCGCAGGUCGGCGACAGCUUCGGACCCACGUGGGUAACACCCAGCUUGGAGAAGCCCCGCCCCUCUCAUGCCUCCUCACCAAAGCCACGCCUCAUUGUCUUGGGCCCUGGACUGCUGUAUGGCAGAGAGUAGCGCCCUCUGCCGGGAGAAUCGCCUUCAUCCUUUCAUGUCUUCACCUGAGUAUUUUCAUCCCUGCCGCCUCUGUCCCUUUCCCUCUCUAGGUGAAUGAUCUUUCCCUUGGGUCUUUGUUCUUCCCCAAUUCUCCGUUCCGGUGGCUCAAAGCUGAGUACCUUGUGAUGCUGCAGAUGCGUGGAGAAAGUCUUAAGGCCCUGCUGACAUUUAAUUCAAGAACAGGGUUUCCACUCCUAGGCCGAUCACGAUAGUUCUCUUACAGAUGGUUGGACCUGCUGGUUCCGGGUAGAACUGGUCAUCCCCGAAGCAUGGGUGGGCCAGGAAGUCCAUCUUUGCUGGGAAAGUGAUGGAGAAAGCCUUGUCUGGCGUGAUGGAGAACCUGUCCAGGUGAGGUACAACCCCCAAACCCAGCCACAGCCACAGAUUAGCCCUGGUUUUUGGAGAAGCCACAACUGAAUGGCCCUCCAGAGUAGUUUCAUGAUUUCAGGACUGAGAGAAUUGCCUUUUGGACGCCAGUGUUAUAAGCCCCCAGUUUUCAUGAACUUUUUAUUGUAUUUAGUACACACAUAAUGGAGAAACUUCAGAUCACUCUAGAAUAGUAUUAAGUAAGGCAUUAAAUUAUCUUCCCAUGA